AUUGCGAAGAUUAUAGCUAAGAUGAUGGCUUCGCGUCUCGCACCACACAUGCAAAGUCUUGUCUCAAAUGCUCAAAGCGCUUUUAUCAAGACGAGGAGCAUACAUGAUAAUUUCAUGUAUGUGAGAGUGUUGGCGAGAAAGUUGCAUCGCAACAAGACCCCGACUUUGCUCUUUAGCUCAAUAUCAAGAAAGCUUUCGACUCUAUGA
rnacentral:rRNA from 1 species